AAAAAUAGCCAUCCAUGCAGUAAAAACACUACACAGUCAUUUCUACUACUGCUGCUAAUACUAGCUAACAUUUAUUAAAUGUUUAUUUUGUGCCAAGUACUGUGCUAUGCACUUUUCACAAAAUCAUUCAUAAGCUGCUUCUUUAUAAAAGUUGGGGAGCCCACAUUUACAAUUAAAAGUCUCAAAGCCUUAUCUUUAUAUCCAAAGACUUCCACAACGUGUCCACAUCUAUCUUCUUAGGACAGCUUCCAAUAUUUCUUUACUUAUUCUCCAACUUAUAUGGCUUUUUUGCAUCCUCUUCAAUUCUUCUGUCCAUAAAAUUCCACUCUAAUUUGAGCCUAUUCUCUGUUCUCUAUCUGAAUUCCACCUAUCCAAAUAUGGCUCUUUUUCCUUGAAAUUUCAUGUUCUCUUAUACUCAUGCACGCAAUGCACACAAAUUUUUCUAGCCUGAAGAAUUUUAGGGAAUCAACUCUGCAUUUACUGCAGCUUAUACUGUCUUAUACUAUAAAUUAUCUUUUCAUGGGUAUAAGUAUUCUGUUAACUAGACUACAUAUUUUUAUUUAACGUUUCUACAGCACUUACAAUGAAAUGGGCAGUGUUCUAAGAGCUUCUCAAAUAUUAAUUCACUUAAUUCUCAGGUGCCAAUAACACCCUGUGAGUCAGAGAUAAUUGUUACCCAUGUAUUACAGAUGUGGAAAAUGAGGCAUAAGGAGGGUAAAUAUCUUGCCCAAGGUCACACAGUAAGUGACACAGUGCCACUUGAAAUCCCAGGCAGUUUGGCUCCAGAUAUUAAUUAUAACUACUAUGCUACGAUACUUCUCAGACUGAGAUCUGAGCUCUCUAACACUUCCACUCUUGUGGAAGAAGUGGGUGGAAGUCAUAGUACCCUGCCCAUAAUUGACAAUCAAAUACUGUUAUUAUAGAUAAGCACAUCUACAAUAUGCCCAGGUAAAUCAAUGCAGGUAUAACUCAAUUUAGUAGGAGAUAUGCUCCUAAGUUUCCUUCUUAAUCAAAUUAUUUUAACUCAUAUAUAUGAUGCACUAGUAAAGCAUAUUAUCAAAGGAUCCCUAGUAAAUAUUUUUUUCCUUCAUAAUGAAAAACUUAAGCCCUGCUCUAUGGAAAGAUUCUGUUUCGUAAAUCAUCUCAUUUGAUAUAAAUCCUAAGUUUUUAAUAUUUUAUAGACAUUUUCUUCAAGGGAGAACUCUUUUUAAAAAACUUUAGAAAACUUUUUUAAAAAAUAAAAUUAUGAAUAUAUUUAAGAAGAAAGCUGAAACAUCAAGAUAGCAACAAACAGGUAUAAAAAUAGGCACGUAGACCAAUGGAACAAUAGAGAACGCAGAAAUAAAGCCAAAUACUUACACUUACCUGAUCUUCGACAAAGCAUAUAAAAACAGAAAUUUGGGAAAAGAUAGCCUAUUUAACAAAAGGUGCUAGGAAAACUGGCAAGCCACAUGUAGAAGAAUGAAAUUGGAUCCUCAUCUCUCACCUUAUACAAAAAUCAACUCAAGAUGGAUCAAAGACUUAAAUCUAAGAACUGAAACCAUAAAAAUUCUAGGGGAUAACAUUGGAAAAACUCUUCUAGACAUUGGCUUAGAGAAAGAAUUCAUGACUAACACCCCAAAAGCAAAUGCAACAAAAACAAAAAUGAAUAAAUGGUACCUAAUUAAACUGAAACGCUUCUGCACAGCAAAAUAAAUACUCAGCAGAGUAAACAGACAACCCAGAGUGGAAGAAAAUGUUCGUAAACUAAGCAUCCAACAAAAGACUAAUAUCCAGAAUCUACAAGGAACUCAAACAUAUCAGCAAGAAAAAAACAACCCCAUCAAAAAGUGGGCAAAGGACAUGAAAAGACAAUUCUCAAAAGAAGAUAUACAAACAGCCAACAAACGUAUGAAGAAAUGCUCAACAUGACUAAUUAUCAGGGAAAUGCAAAUUAAAAUCACAAUGACAUACCCCUUACUCCUACAAGAAUGACCAUAAUUAGUCAAAAUAACAAUAGAUGUUGGUGUGGAUGUGAUGAAACGGGAACACUUUUACACUGCUGGUGGGAACGUAAACUAGAACAACCACUAAAGAAAACAGUAUGGAGAUUACUUACAGAACUAAAAGCAUUAUAGAUCUAUCAUUUGAUCCAGCAAUCCCACUACUGAGUAUUUACCCAAAGGAAAAGAAGUUGUCAUAUGAAAAAGACACAUGCACACAUGUUUACUGCAGCACAAUUCACAACUGCAAAGAUAUGGAGCCAACCUGAGUGUCCAUCAACCAACAAGUGAAUAAAGAAUAUGCGGUAUAUAUACGCCAUAGAAUACUACUCAGCCAUAAAAAGGAAUGAAAUAAUGUCUUUUACAGCAACUUGGAUGGAGCUGGAGGCCAUUAUUCUAAGUGAAGUAGCUCAAGAAUGGAAAACCAAAUAUUGUACGUUCUCACUUAUAAGUGAGAGCUAAGCUAUGAGGAUGCAAAGGUGUAAGAAAUGAUAUAAUGGAAUUUGGGUACUCAAGGAGGAAGGUUUGGAGGAGGGUAUGGGAUAAAAGACUACAUAUUGAAUAUGGUGUACACUGCUCAGGUGCACCAAAAUCUCAGAAAUCACCACUAAAGAACUUAUCCAUGUAGCAAAAAAACACCUAUACCCCAAAAACUAUUGAAAUAAAAAUAAAAAUUUAUAAAAAAAGAUAGCAGCAAACAAUCAAAAGGCUGAAAUUUGUCUUUUCUUUUUUAACCACCUCUACUAGGCACAUUUAAUUUGGCCAGACUACUGAGAUACCACUGUAGUUAUAAUAAUUACUCUGGAGCAGUGGUUCUUAAUUCUUACAUGGUACUGAGGGGGGAGAAGUAAUUAUAAACUUCUUUAAGAAUAUGAAGAAAUCCAUGAACCUACUCACUCCCCAGAACACCACUCAUACGCACAUACUAAAAACAAUUCCCACGUACUUCCAAGAGAUUUAUAAAUGCCUGGCAACAUCUCAGUAAAGAACUCCCAGUCCACAAACGGAAGGAGGGAGAGUAACAUUAAACAAUAGCCAAUUCAAAAGGUUCUAGGACUAUAGGAAGGGGAGAAAAAUCAUACUAUGUGCCAAGCACUGUGCUUGGGCUUUUUCAUUUAAUUUUCAACAACUCUGUGAAGUAGAUAUUUAUCCUUACUUUACAGCUGUGAACCUGAUUUUUUUUAAAAAAUACAGUGAUUCACGGAAGGUCAGACAGCUCAGCUGGGUGCUGCAGUGGGUGGAAGCCUGU
rnacentral:lncRNA from 1 species